rnacentral:rRNA from 1 species
UACGUAGGGUGCGAGCGUUGUCCGGAAUUAUUGGGCGUAAAGAGCUUGUAGGUGGUUUGUCGCGUCUGCUGUGAAAAUCCGAGGCUCAACCUCGGACUUGCAGUGGGUACGGGCAGACUAGAGUGUGGUAGGGGAGACUGGAAUUCCUGGUGUAGCGGUGAAAUGCGCAGAUAUCAGGAGGGAACACCGGUGGCGAAGGCGGGUCUCUGGGCCGA